UCAAGCGACUAAGUGUAUGUGGUGGAUGCCUUGGCGAUUACAGGCGAAGAAGGACGUCGCAGCCUGCGAAAAGCCGUGGGGAGCUGGCAAGCGAGCACUGAUCCACGGAUGUCCGAAUGAGGGAACUCACCCGCAAGGGUAUCUUGAAGUGAAUACAUAGCUUCAAGAGGCGAACGCAGCGAACUGAAACAUCUAAGUAGCUGCAGGAAAAGAAAUCAACCGAGAUUCUGAAAGUAGCGGCGAGCGAAAUUGGAAGAGCCUGCAAGUGAUAUUGAAUUCGAUACUGGAACGGUCUGGAAAGUCCGGCUACAGAGGGUGACAGCCCCGUACGGGAAAUUGGGUUCAAGGUACUGAGCUUGCGAGAAGUAGAGCGGGACACGUGAAAUCCUGCUCGAAGAUGGGGGGACCAUCCUCCAAGGCUAAAUACUCGUAAUCGACCGAUAGCGAACCAGUACUGUGAAGGAAAGGCGAAAAGAACCCCGGGAGGGGAGUGAAAUAGAUCCUGAAACCGCAUACAUACAAACAGUAGGAGCCUCGUUAAGGGGUGACUGCGUACCUUUUGCAUAAUGGGUCAGCGACUUACGUUUAAUGGCGAGCUUAACCGUAUAGGGGAGGCGCAGCGAAAGCGAGUUCGAACAGAGCGUUCAGUCGUUAGGCGUAGACCCGAAACCAGAUGAUCUAUCCAUGGCCAGGUUGAAGGUGUGGUAACACACACUGGAGGACCGAACCGACUAGUGUUGCAAAAUUAGCGGAUGAGCUGUGGAUAGGGGUGAAAGGCUAAACAAAUCUGGAGAUAGCUGGUUCUCCCCGAAAACUAUUGAGGUAGUGCCUCGUGUAUGGCUCCAGGGGGUAGAGCACUGUUAUGGCUAGGGGGACAUGGCGUCUUACCAAACCAUGGCAAACUCCGAAUACUUGGAAGUUUGAGCACGGGAGACAGAGCACCGGGUGCUAACGUCCGGACUCAAGAGGGAAACAACCCAGACCGCCGGCUAAGGUCCCUAAUAUUGACUAAGUGGAAAACGAAGUGGGAAGGCUAAGACAGUCAGGAAGUUGGCUUAGAAGCAGCCAUCCUUCAAAGAAAGCGUAAUAGCUCACUGAUCGAGUCUUUCUGCGCGGAAGAUGUAACGGGGCUAAGUCAAUAACCGAAGCCGCGGAUUCACACUUGUGUGUGAGUGGUAGGGGAGCGUUCUGUAAGCCUGCGAAGGUGACUCGUAAGGGUUGCUGGAGGUAUCAGAAGUGCGAAUGCUGACAUGAGUAACGUUAAAGCGGGUGAAAAGCCCGCUCGCCGUAAGCCCAAGGUUUCCUGCUCUACGUUCAUCGGAGCAGGGUGAGUCGGCCCCUAAGGUGAGGCUGAGAAGCGUAACUGAUGGGAACAAGGUUAAUAUUCCUUGACCACCGCUGAAUGCGAAGGGGGGACGGAGUAUUGAAGAUCAUCCGGGUGUUGGAUAUCCCGGUUUGCGAGCGUAGGAGGCUGACAGGCAAAUCCGUCAGCGAAUCUCCGAGGCAAAGCAUCGAGCUCUCUUUUGAGCGAAGUGAUUGGAUGUGCUUCCAGGAAAAGCCUCUAAGCUCCAGUUCAGCGGGACCGUACCGCAAACCGACACUGGUGGGCGAGCUGAAUAUGCUCAGGCGCUUGAGAGAACUCAGGAGAAGGAACUCGGCAAAUUGACACCGUAACUUCGGGAUAAGGUGUGCCUUUGUAGCGUGGAGGGAGAAACACCCCGAGCGCGAAGAGGUCUCAGAUAAUCGGUGGCUGCGACUGUUUAUUAAAAACACAGCACUCUGCAAAGACGAAAGUCGACGUAUAGGGUGUGAUGCCUGCCCGGUGCUGGAAGAUUAAUUGAUGGGGUGCAAGCUCCUGAUCGAAGUCCCAGUAAACGGCGGCCGUAACUAUAACGGUCCUAAGGUAGCGAAAUUCCUUGUC
rnacentral:rRNA from 1 species